rnacentral:rRNA from 1 species
GACGAACGCUGGCGGCGUGCCUAACACAUGCAAGUCGAGCGGGAACCUCAGGAGGGGUAACCCUUCUGAGGGGAGAGCGGCGAACGGGUGAGUAACACGUGGGCAACCUGCCCCGGACACCGGGGAUAACCCAGGGAAACCUGAGCUAAUACCGGAUACUCCGGCGCGAUCGCAUGGUCGUGCCGGGAAAGCUCCGACGGUCCGGGAUGGGCCCGCGGCCUAUCAGCUUGUUGGUGGGUAACGGCCCACCAAGGCGACGACGGGUAGCUGGUCUGAGAGGACGGCCAGCCACACUGGGACUGAGACACGGCCCAGACUCCUACGGGAGGCAGCAGUGGGGGAUCUUGCGCUAAUGCGCGAAAGCGUGACGCAGCGACGCCGCGU